rnacentral:rRNA from 1 species
AGAGUUUGAUCAUGGCCCAGGAUGAACGCUAGCUACAGGCUUAACACAUGCAAGUCGAGGGGAGACGAUAUUGGAAGCUUGCUUCCGAUAGGCGUCGACCGGCGCACGGGUGAGUAACGCGUAUCCAACCUGCCCACCACUUGGGGAUAACCUUGCGAAAGUAAGACUAAUACCCAAUGAUAUCUCUAGAAGACAUCUGAAAGAGAUUAAAGAUUUAUCGGUGAUGGAUGGGGAUGCGUCUGAUUAGCUUGUUGGCGGGGUAACGGCCCACCAAGGCAACGAUCAGUAGGGGUUCUGAGAGGAAGGUCCCCCACAUCGGAACUGAGACACGGUCCAAACUCCUACGGGAGGCAGCA